AUAAUACUCCCUCCGUCCGGAAUUACUUGUCAUCAAAAUGGAUGUGUCUAGAACUAAAAUACAUCUAAAUACAUCCAUUUCAAUGACAAGUAUUUUCAGACGGAGGGAGUAGAAG
rnacentral:pre_miRNA from 1 species